GGAGGGUGAGCAUCAGGUGAUGUAGUCCGGUUGCUAACCGGAUACGGAUUCCCCCCGUCUGGUUCGAGUCCAGCACCCUCCG
rnacentral:tRNA from 1 species